AUUCAUCUUUUCUCCUUGCACUUCUUGUUCGUUAGUGUAUAUGAAUCAGUUGAUGUAAUAGUAUUUUUACUGCUAUUAGUUGGUAAAACAUGCAUAGCACUUUAUGUGUGAUUAAUAUUUUUAAAUUUUUUCAUAAAUUUUUCAAAUAAGACGGACGGUCAAACGUUGGACGCGAAUACUCAAAUGUGCACUUAUU
rfam:Oryza sativa Japonica Group DNA, chromosome 7, cultivar: Nipponbare, complete sequence.